UGUUGUAGGUAGUUAUUAUUUGUACAUGAUACCCGCAUUCAUGUGAAAUAAACAGUUGCUGUUUUAUACUGACGUGUUUCAUUACAUGGUGGCAGCGGUGUUAUAAAAUCUCUUCUUAAGAAAGCGAUUAAUACAAACGGCGAUUUUUAUUUAGCCUUGCUAAACUAUCGUAACACUCCCAGGGACGGUUUAAGCUCUCCUGCACAGCUUCUGAUGGGUCGUCAACUUAAAUGUAAGCUCCCGGUGCACCCUAGGUUGUUGACCCCGCGGCCAAUUGACUCAUCAGAACAUUCGACAAUGUUGCGUAAUCAAAUAAA